AGGGCAUGUAUUACCAGGCACAGCUUUCCUUGCACUAGGUUUAUGGCAUCUCUUUAAUCACAUUAAACUCUAUUCUCUACAUCCAAACUCCUACACGUCUUCUCCUUGGUUCCCUACCCCAAAACUAAGGUACUUGGAGCUCUUCUUGAUCAUGGCAGGAAGCUCUAUCUCCAUUUCCAUGGAGCUUUUCAUUGGUCCUGAGAGACACCAACCCUUUGAUCCUGAUGGAACCAUACCAUCAAAUCAUCUCAGAAACUUUGAGCACUCUUCAAUUUCAAUGCUUUUCUUGGUUUAUGCAACUUUUGCAAUUCUUCUUGACAGAUUUAAGCCUAAAGCUCAACUUGGUCUAACACAGCUUCUUGGAGCAGUAGCUUUUGGGCAGCAGUUCUUUCUCUUCCAUCUCCACUCAACAGAUCACAAGGGUCUGGAAGGGCAAUACCAUUUGCUUCUCCAAGCUAUUAUAAUUGUUUCUUUAGUCACCACUCUUACGGGAAUUGGGCUUCCAAGGAGUUUCUUGGUUAGCUUUGUGAGGUCUGUUAGUAUUGUUUUUCAAGGAGUUUGGCUCAUAGUGAUGGGCUAUAUGCUAUGGACACCUAAAUUGAUACCUAAAGGUUGUGCACUCUACGAUGAAGAUGAUCACCAUGUGGUUAGAUGCGGCAGCCAAGAAUCAUUGCAUAGGGCUAAAUCAUUAGUAAAUAUUCAAUUCAGCUGGUUACUAAUUGGGAUUGCAAUUUUUGCAAUUUCUUUUUAUCUGGGUCUGGUUGAAAGAUUUGGCAAAAGGGUGGAGCACUAUUCUGCACUACCAAAGGAAUUUGAAGAAAUGAAAGAAGAAGAAGAAGAAG
rnacentral:misc_RNA from 1 species